GAUGAACGCUGGCGGCGUGCUUAACACAUGCAAGUCGAGCGAGUGAGUUCUUCGGAACGAUCUAGCGGCGGACGGGUGAGUAACACGUGGGCAACCUGCCUCAUAGAGGGGAAUAGCCUCCCGAAAGGGAGAUUAAUACCGCAUAAAAUUAUCGAGUGGCAUCACAUGAUAAUCAAAGGAGUAAUCCGCUAUGAGAUGGGCCCGCGGCGCAUUAGCUAGUUGGUGAGGUAACGGCUCACCAAGGCGACGAUGCGUAGCCGACCUGAGAGGGCGAUCGGCCACAUUGGGACUGAGACACGGCCCAGACUCCUACGGGAGGCAGCAGUGGGGAAUAUUGCACAAUGGGGGAAACCCUGAUGCAGCAACGCCGCGUGAGUGAUGAAGGUCUUCGGAUUGUAAAGCUCUGUCUUUGGGGACGAUAAUGACGGUACCCAAGGAGGAAGCCACGGCUAACUACGUGCCAGCAGCCGCAGUAACAC
rnacentral:rRNA from 1 species